GUGCCAGCAGCCGCGGUAAUACGAAGGGUGCAAACGUUGCUCGGAAUCAUUGGGCGUAAAGCGCACGUAGGCGGCUUCGCAAGUCGGAUGUGAAAUACCUAGGCUCAACCAAGGACGUGCAUCCGAAACUGCGAGGCUUGAGUACAGAAGAGGAUCGCGGAAUUCCCGGUGUAGAGGUGAAAUUCGUAGAUAUCGGGAGGAACACCAGUGGCGAAGGCGGCGAUCUGGGCUGAUACUGACGCUGAGGUGCGAAAGCGUGGGGAGCAAACAGGAUUAGAAACCCUAGUAGUCC
rnacentral:rRNA from 1 species